GAUGAACGCUGGCGGCGUGCUUAACACAUGCAAGUCGAACGGAAAGGCUCCUGCUUGCAGGGGUACUCGAGUGGCGAACGGGUGAGUAACACGUGUGUGAUCUGCCCUGCACUUCGGGAUAAGCCUGGGAAACUGGGGCUAAUACCGGAUAGGACCACAUUUUGGAUGGUGUGGUGGAAAGUUUUUCGGUUUGGGAUGAGCUCGCGGCCUAUCAGCUGGUUGGUGGGGUAAUGGUCUACCAAGGCGUCGACGGGUAGCCGGCCUGAGAGGGGGUACGGGCACAAUGGGACUGAGAUACGGAGCAGACGGGUACGGGAGGCAGCAGUGGGGAAUAUUGCACAGUAGGCGCGAGCGUGUUGCAGCGACGCUGGGUGGGGGAUGACGGCCUCCGGGUUGUAAACUCCUUUCGCUAGGGACGAAGCGGAAGUGACGGUACCUGGAGAAGAAGCACCGGCUAACUACGUG
rnacentral:rRNA from 1 species